rnacentral:rRNA from 1 species
GACGAACGCUGGCGGCGUGCUUAACACAUGCAAGUCGAAGAUAGUGGCGAACGGGUUAGUAAUACGUGGGUAACCUGCCCUCCUUUUUGGGAUAAGCCUUGGAAACGGGGUCUAAUACCGAAUAAAGGGGGAUGGGCUCGCGGCCUAUCAGCUUGUUGAUGGGGUGAUGGGCUACCAAGGCGGUGACGGGUAGCCGGCCUGAGAGGGUGACCUGCAACAGUGAGACGGGGAUACGGCCCAGGGUAGGACGGAGGGGGGAAGAGGGGGAUAUGGGACAAAGGGCGAUAGACUGAUGCAGCGUCGCCGCGUAGGGGAUGAGGGUUUUAGAGUUGUAAACCUCGUUCGCAAUCGAACGGGUAGGUGUAGAAGAAGCGCCGGCUAACUACGUGCCAGCAGCCGCGGUAAUUC